AUACGGAGGAUGCAAGCGUUAUCCGGAUUUAUUGGGUUUAAAGGGUGCGUAGGCGGUUUGCUAAGCGGGAGGUGAAAUGCCGGCGCUCAACGUCGGAAGUGCCUUCCGAACUGGGGGACUGGAAUGACUCUGCCGGGGGAGGAAUGUGUAGUGGAGCGGUGAAAUGCUUAGAGAUUACACAGAACACCGAUUGCGAAGGCAUCUCACGAAGGGUUGAUUGACGCUGAGGCACGAAAGCGUGGGGAUCAAACAGGAUUAGAUACCCUGGUAGUCCACGCAGUAAACGACGAUGGCUAACCGCUGGUUUAUUCGGAUCAGUGGCCAAGCGAAAGCGAUAAGCCAUCCACCUGGGGAGUACGACCGCAAGGUUGAAACUCAAAGGAAUUGACGGGG
rnacentral:rRNA from 1 species